UACGAGGGGUGCAAGCGUUGCUCGGAAUCAUUGGGCGUAAAGGGUAUGUAGGUGGUCUGAUUUGUCAGGGGUGAAAGCCUUGGGCUUAACCUGAGAAGUGCCCCUGAAACGGUCAGACUGGAGUCUUGGAGAGGGUCGUGGAAUUCCCGGUGUAGCGGUGAAAUGCGUAGAGAUCGGGAGGAACACCAGAGGCGAAGGCGGCGACCUGGACAAGCACUGACACUCAACUACGAAAGCGUGGGGAGCAAACAGG
rnacentral:rRNA from 1 species